AUUGUUAGGCACCAGCUCAAGCAAUCAGGCUUUCUUUGUAUUAGCUGAAAAACAAGGAAAUCGCACAUCCACGCCUAACUGCCUCACACCUGUGCUUGCAAAAGUGGCAGAAGCACUGAGCAUCUUGUGACUAAUCUGGAAAAUUGUCUACUUCAAGCAAAGUGACUUUCAGUGUUUCAGGUAAGCUUCUAACCUCUUUUCCAGCUACAUGUGUGAUUUGGAAUGCACAUAUUUGUUCCUUCUUCCUGGUAAUCUUUCAACUCUAAGCUCUGCCAGGUACAGGACUUUCAGAUCAUGGCUUUAUGCUGAGAUCCAAGGAACAGAUUACAAUGGUCAGUCUGAAAAUUAGCACAUAGGACCUCUCUAAGUGCAGAAAGACCGCUAGAGAGAAACUGAAACUCAACUCAUUGCCAGACUCUGAUUUUCAAGUAAUAAUAGCAACAAUUUAUUAUUUGCUUACUAUAUGCCAGGCACUGUUUUAAAGCCAUUAUCCUGUUUUUCACAGGUAAGGGAACUGUGGCACAUAUAUGCUAAGUAACCUGUGCAAGAUUGCGCAGCUAACAGAUGUGAACUCAAUUAACUCUAUGUGGUUUUUCAAAUUAAUUUAUUCAUUAACUCACUCCCCUUAACACAAUUCAAAAUACUUAUGUUAAACAAAUUAUUAUAAUUUGUUGAUUUCAAAUCAAGAGCCUUUUAAUCACUAUCAUUUUUUUUUAAUCUUCAUCAUAGCACUUACAGUUGGCUCUGCUCCCUAGGCAUGGCCAAUGGCCAAGAAUCAUUCCAAGUCUCUGCUCCUGCUCUUCUCUCAACCCCAUCUCUACCUAUCAAAAUCCUAGACACCUUCAAGGUCCAUAUCAAACAUUCUCUUCUUUCUGAAACUUUCCUAGUCAUCUAGCUAGAUACAAUCUCUUAUCCCUCAUAUUUCUCUGUUGGGAAACUGUUAUGGUCUAGCUUUUAGUAGAUAUUAGGGUAAUUAUUUUAUCCUCACCUUCUACUCAACCAUAAGUUCCCUAGGGGCAGAAAUUAAGACACACUCCUCUUUGGAUCAUCUGCAGGGCCUAACAUAGUGUCUUGCAAAUAGUGGAUGCAGAAUAUAUGUUUACUGAAUUUUCAGUUGAGAACUCUGUGUACACGUUGCCAAGAAACAAAGAACAGCGAGAGAUGGUGAAAAAAAAUGUAAAGAGGAAGAGAGGUUAGAAUUGUAAAGAGCUUAAGAAAUCAGCCAGAAGGAAAUAUGUACAAGUACCCUUGCAUGGCAAGGGAAGCUAGGAAGAGUGUGGAAGCUAGGAACCAUGUGAAAAUCUAUUUGAUCAGAAAAACUGUUAGUGUUUUACAAAAUGAAGCUACUCCUCUCCUAUCUUGGAAGACAGAGUCAAUAAUGUUCAGUCUUCCAAAAUUAUAUACUUCUCCCAAAUUUCUGCUAAAAUAAUUUGACACUAAUCCAGCUGACCAUUUACUAUACAGCAUUAGAUAUUUAAGCUUUCUGUAUAGAUCUGACUCUUCUCUUGCUAUUAGUUGAAUCUUCUUGACCUUAUGUUCUGCCAUUUACCACCAAUCUAAAUUAUUUUAUUAUGUUAACUAUCAUGCUGGAUUCCCAUUGUUCUCUUGACCCUGUGAUAGGAAUAUUACCAGCUAUAUGCUGUCCUCUUUAUGAACUUGUGGUUUUCCUCCUGGCAUGUUCUCAUGCCACAUGGUUCCUACCCCAUUUCCUAUAGCUGGGUUCAGCCCAAAUUCUCAAUCAGUAUGGCUUCCAUAUGCCAGCUCAUGAAUUAGUGUCAGUCUGUGAUGGAGUUUACUCCUGCUGGGGAUGAAAUUUAAUUAUAUUUUUGUAAUUUUUCUGUUUGUCUAUUUCUCUUAAUUUAUAUUUAUCUUUUUUUACAGAGACUAAAUUAGUCUUAUAAUUCAAUAUAUUCAACUGAAAGGGUUGUUUUUAUAUUAAUACUCUGGCCUUUCUGCUUGUAUUUAAAUUCACUUUUAUGGUAUAACAGUGAUAAUUAGUUGUUGGUAGUUGUGUGUGUGUGUAUGUGUGUUCUUAUGUGUCAAAAUAAAAUGCUGGCAAUCUAAUAUUAGUUUUCCAGGUAUUUAUCUACAUUUAUCUAUUUAAACACACACAAACACUUUCUUCUCUUUUUUUAACUGACCUGGGAACCUCUGCUCAGAAGGAUGCUGAUAACCUUAAUGAGUGCAUGCAAGGAUUAGAGCAAACCAAUUCCAAUUAAUGGUCUUAUUCUGCUGGUGGUGGGCUGCCAUUUUCUUCAAGUAUAAAAGCCAGUAGGUUUUAUUUAGUUCAGUUGCACAAUGGUGUGAAUUUCUUCCAAGAGUCUACCUAAGGAAAAUCUAUGUAUUUAUUAAGGUAAGAAGUCUAUUAAGCCACACCAUUUAUAAUCAUUCCACAUAAUGUAUAGAGUGUGUAAAUAGUGCUCCUGAACAGUCUAUAGAGAGAUACAUUCAUAUAUUUACCCUUGAAUCAGACACUCCCGUAUUGCAGCAUAUUUGUAUUUAUAGAUUUUUUUUCCUUUGGAACUCAGCCUCACAGACACUUCAGUGCAGUCUCUCACCAUCCUUUUGCAGCUUCCUGGUGGAGAUGACAUUUGCUCAGCUAGAGAAUAGACACUUUCUAGCUGAGUUGCUCAUCACACUGAUACCCUAAGGCCUGGCUGAUUGGCUGUCAGAGGACUCCAGCUGUUUAGCUGCCGUGAUAUGUCUUUCAUAGGAAAAGACAUUUCCUGGAACAUCAACAGCUUGUUAAGGACUGGGGAGUGCAGGGGAGAAAUUUUAAAAUUUUGGAGGAACUGAGUGUUUUGAACUUGGAGGAGGCAUGAAGAUGAAACAGAGAAAGGGAUGAAGGGGAGACUUUUCCCUCUUCUGUGUUUGAAAGACUCAUUUUCAGAGCUAACCUUACAAUUUAUGAUGAGCAGCCCUCCGCAGCUUAGCAGGUCAAGUGUUGGUAGGAGAAGCAAAUCUGUUACCCACCCUAGGGGUGCACAGACCAUAUGAAGAUGUAAACUCAUCAAAGAAGCUGGAAAACUCCUCAUGAAAUUGUCAGCAAUUUCAUUUCAAUCUGAUUUUCUUUGUGCCUUGAUUUCCCCUUCUGAAAAUCAAGGUUGAAGAACACUCUUGGACAUGCUUAUAAGAUCCCAGAGAGCAAAACGUUGACCAAAGAUACCUGGAUUCUGAAGGUCCCUUUGGGAAGCCAAGUUGGUAGCCAGAGCACACAGAAGGGAGGACCACAGUGCUAAUGAGGCCAUGCUUGCCAAUUUGAAGCCCAUGUGGGCCAAUUAGCUCUGCUUUCUUCCGCUGCCAUCAACUGACCCCUGAACUCUGGCCACUCACCUCACAGAUCUAUGCCACUUGUCACUGGGGUCAGCAAGAGAGUGCGUGGUUGUCUCAGUGAAAAUUUAACAGAGCAUGUUUCCAAGUGUCACCUUGAUGUGUGAGGGGCAGCACAGGAACUCCUCAGGGUAUCAAGUACUGUUUAACGGUCUCCUGGAGUCCUCCUGCCAUCUGUGCUUCCCACUCUGACAUAUCUUAUCACUCUCUAUUGUCUUUGUCUGCUUGCCUAUUUGUUUUCUCCCACCAAACUGUGAGCUCUUUGAGAACUUAUAUUGGCUUAACAUAAGUAUUGUAUCUUACUUAAUUCUGUAACCUUGGCAACUCACACAGUAUAGACACAUAGCAAGAGCUCUGUAAACCUUACGUGACUGAAUGAAGGAAUGUAAAGGGCCUAUCUCCAGCAUUCCUCAACAAGGUUUGACAACAGCUCAGUGGGUCAGCAAUUCCACCAUAAAAAUCUGCAAAAAUUUCCUAGAAUAAAUGCAUAUAAUUCACUCCAAACAUUUUAACAGGUAAAUGCCUUUGCAAAAAUAUUACCUAUGAGCCAAGGGACAGAUGUGGAUAGCAACAAAUCGGUCUGCCAGGGUAAUAUAAGCACCUAAAGUUUGUAAAUCAGUAACCUAACGCUGGCUUAUUCAGUGGCAUAUGCAACAAAGCAAAGCCCUUUUGAAUAAAAAAUAAAAUCAUCAUCUGAGUUUACAAUGGAGAGUCGCUCCUUUGGAUUGGAGGUUCCUAGAAGGUGAAGAUGGUGCUUCAUCAAAAGGCCAUACACAUCAAAUGCACUAGGGAAGAAAUAGGAGCACUUUGAGUUCUGAUUUCAGCAAUAAGUGAGCCGUACUCUCUCAUCUAGCCUCCCUGUGUCUCUGAGGCCUAAAACAUACUACCCUCUACUCAUGACCGUCCAUGCUUGUCAGGAUUACUUUAUUAGUUGUUUAAUGCUCAAUUCAGAUGUCACUGCCUCUAGGAUGUCUUCACUGACCACCAUCCCCAAGGUGGAUUCUGUGCCUUUACUAUAUACUUCCAUGGAGACCAUGAUUUCUUCUUUUAUUGGAACUUUAUGUUUUAUUGUAAUUUUCCCUUUACCUAUUUAUCUUCUCUGAUAGACUGUGAGUUUGUUGACAAUAAAAAUUCUAUGUCAGUAGGUCUGGGGUAGAGUAAUUGUUAUGACCAAGGAAGAUUGGGAUAUACUGUUCUAAUUCAUUGUGUUCACAGUCCUGGAUGCAUAAUUAAAUAUAAAACACUGCCACUAGCCAACCCAAUCAGAAACAUAGUUUCGAUUCCAAAAUUAACCCUUUGCUCCCAAAUAUCAGUUGGAGAAAGGCUAAGGAGUGAGGAAUACCCAGUGAGGUAGCUACUAUUCUAUGACCAUUUUAUGGAGAGAUAAGCUGAAGGUUUGACAGUUUAUGUGAUUUUCCUAGUUACUUACUAUAAGUGCCAGAGCCAAAAUUCAAAGCC
rnacentral:lncRNA from 10 species